AACCAGCUUCCUCAUAAUCACUCAGUAGCUGCACAGGAAAGUAGUUAGGUUUUAUAGAAUGAAUCAAUGAAUCACUUUGAAUGAUAUUAUUUUGACAGGUUGUGAGCAUCCCAUAUUUUGGUGGGAUUUGAGAUCUUGACCUCACUACAAUACAGCUACAAUGUGAUGUUUUGUUCCCUCACAAGACGAUGGCUUCUUCAGAACAUUGACAACCAGGCCUUUACCCUUCAGACAGAAGAGGGGAAGAUUCUUCUCUGAGGCAUCUCACCAGCCCAAGAGACGAGAUGUAGAUUCUGACACUGAGGCUCACCAGAAUGAGACGGCAGCACUGCCAGGUGCUCUGAAGGAGG